rnacentral:rRNA from 1 species
AAUUUUAUCUUAAAAUUUAUAUUUAUAGAUAAUAAAUAAAAUUAUUUAAAAUAAUAAUAAAAUAAAAAAUUUUUAUUAAAAUUUAUUUAACAAAAUAUUAUAUUUAUAGUAAAUUAGUAUAGUAAUAGAAUGAUGAAAUAAUUAAAAAUUUUAUUUUAAAAAAGUAAAUUUUAUUUAUUGUAUCUUGUGUAUCAGAGAUUAUUAAAAAAUAAUUUUUUAAUAAGUUUUUUCGAAAUUUAAAGAGUUAAUUAAUUAUUAUAGUUAUUGUAAUAUAAAUAUUAUUUAUAAUUAAUUAGAAAUAAAAUGUUAAUCGAUUUAAAUAAUAUCUAAUUUUUUAAGAAAUAAAUUUAAUUUAUAUAUUUAACUAAAAUUUUUUUUUUUAAUUAAAGAAAUUUAUUUUAAAUAUUAAUAUCAAAUGGGAUAAGCUUUUUGUUAAAUUUUUAAAUAAAAAAUGAUUUAGUUAAAAUUAAUAAAAAUAAAAUUAUUUAUUAAUUAUAUUUUAUUAUAAAAAAUUUUUUAAUCAAUAAUAUUUUAAUAUAUAAUAAUUAAUUUAAUUUAUUGAAAUAUACAUUUUAAUUAAUUUAAUGUGGAAAUAAUGAUAAUAUUAGUAUAUUAAUAAUAAAUUAUAAAAUUUAAAAGUUUAUUUAAAAAUAUUUUUAAGAAUUCGGCAAAUUUUCAUAUUCGCUUGUUUAACAAAAACAUGUCUUUUUGAUAAAUAAUUUAAAGUCUAAUCUGCCCCCUGAAAUUAUUUUAAAGGGCUGCGGUAUCUUAACCGUACAAAGGUAGCAUAAUAAUUAGGUUUUUAAUUGAAAUCUUGAAUGAAUGAUUGGACGAGAUAUGAGCUGUUUUAAAAUAUAAAAUUGAAUUUAAUUUUUUAGUUAAAAAGCUAAAAUAUAUUUAAAAGACGAGAAGACCCUAUAAAUCUUUAUAGUUUAUUUAUUUUAAUUAAUUAUUUUAAUAAAAUUAAUUUAAGUAAUAGAAGUAUUUUAUUGGGGUGAUAUAAAAAUUUUUUAAACUUUUUAUGACUAUAAUACUAUAAUUAAAGAUUUAUAUAACAUGAUCUAUUAUUAAUAAUUUAAAGAAAAAGAUACUUUAGGGAUAACAGCGUAAUUUUAAUAUUAAGUUCAUAUUAUUAUUAAAGAUUGCGACCUCGAUGUUGGAUUAAAAUUUAAUUUAAAUGCAAAAGUUUAAAAAUUAAGUCUGUUCGACUUUUAAAAUUUUACAUGAUCUGAGUUCAAACCGGUGUGAGCCAGGUUGGUUUCUAUCUUUAAUAAAAAAAUAUUUUUUAGUACGAAAGGAUCAAAAAUUUCAUAAUAUUUAUGUUUAUUGAGAAAAAAAUUAAUAAUUUA